UACGUAGGUGGCAAGCGUUAUCCGGAUUUAUUGGGCGUAAAGCGAGCGCAGGCGGUUGCUUAGGUCUGAUGUGAAAGCCUUCGGCUUAACCGAAGAAGGGCAUCGGAAACCGGGCGACUUGAGUGCAGAAGAGGACAGUGGAACUCCAUGUGUAGCGGUGGAAUGCGUAGAUAUAUGGAAGAACACCAGUGGCGAAGGCGGCUGUCUGGUCUGCAACUGACGCUGAGGCUCGAAAGCAUGGGUAGCGAACAGG
rnacentral:rRNA from 1 species